ensembl:snRNA U6 U6 spliceosomal RNA
GUGCUCAUUUCAGCACCAUAUAUACUAAAAUUGGAACCAUACAGAGAUCAGCAUGGCCCCUGUGCAAGGAUGACACACAAAUUCGUGAAGCCUCCCGUAUUUUU